UUGGAUGCAACAAAGGGCUGAGAUUAGAAACAGAACCCCGAAAAGUGUAGUGAACUCGGCUUCUUCUCCAGAAUCUCCACUGCCGUUACAAAGCUUUCUCCUCCUCCUCCGCCUCCUCCUGCAGCCACAGUCCACCAACAUAGCUUCUCUUCCUUCUCUAAUUUGGUACUUCUGUUCUGCUCAUACAAUCAAACCCAAAGAAUCGACGUUUUUGUUGGUUUCGUUUGGAGUCACGACUCUGGAGGAUACAAGUGGAAGGAAUGCAGCAACAGAAAUUGAUUUGGGGAUGGGUUUUCAUCGCCUCUGGCUCCCUUUUCUUUCUGGGUUUUCUCUACGCCGCCGUGAUAUCCAAGCUUCUUCCGCCUUCAGAUAAUCCUAUCGUCUCCGCGAUCCAAAGCGACCGGUAUUAUUGCUUCUUGGUGCCCUUGACUCUGCCGGUCCUUGUGGUAGCUGUAUAUUUUCACUGGCUCAGCAUGAAACUGUUCAAGCAUGCAUGAUUUUUUCUCCAUCCCAUCGUCACCAUCAGUUAUGUUGGAAAGCCAUGGAAUUUUGUUGCUAACUUUUAUGACUUGAGAUUUAGCCAAGGGAGGAUACUUUCUUCAUUUAAGCCUCCUCGAUUAAGAUAAAGCACUUUCCCCGCCACUCAAACCCUGUGCAGACCGGGAAGGCUGUAACCUCUACAACCGUUGCAAGGGUACGUAUCUCUUUACCCUGUUUUGGACACACACACUAUUUGUCAAACCCUUAAUUGUAAUAUCCGGAAAGUUCUAUGUGCCGAACUUUAUGUUAAAUUUUCAUUUGAAUAGCUAGAUAUUGCACUCAAUUUAUGUUCGUUGAGGCAGUUUUCCUGCAAAUGUGGGUAUGUGCCGAACAUAUGAUACGAUAUUGAAGGCUACCGUACUUUUUGCCGGAAAUUACACAUUUUUAGCAUGCAAUCUGGGUUCUGAUUGUAUUUACUAGGUGGGUACUUACAAAUGUAGGUACAUGUAUUACCACAAGCUGAUGAAACACCACAGUAAAAUAAAGGAGGGAGGCCAAAUUUUGUGCCAUUUUAA